rnacentral:rRNA from 1 species
AACGGCCGCGGUAUUUUGACCGUGCAAAGGUAGCAUAAUCAUUAGUCUUUUAAUAGGAGGCUGGUAUGAAGGGCUUGACGAGGUGUUUACUGUCUCAUUCAAUUUGAAAUUAAAAUUUAACUUUUCAGUUAAAAGGCUGAAAUUUUUUUGGAAGACGAGAAGACCCUAUAGAGUUUUAUAAUUAAUAUGUAAAUGAGAGUUUGAUUAUACUUUCUUGUUAAUGUAUUACUUAUUUUGUUGGGGUGAUAAAAAUAUAUAGUUAACUUUUUUAUUUAUAGAACAUUGAUUUAUGAUUUUUAGAUCCAAUUUUAUUGAUUGUUAGAUUAAGUUACCUUAGGGAUAACAGCGUAAUCUUCCUUCGGAGUUCAUAUUUACAGGAAGGCUUGCGACCUCGAUGUUGGAUUAAGAUAACAGUUAGGUGUAGCCGCUUAAUAUGUAGGUCUGUUCGAC